rnacentral:rRNA from 1 species
UGAGGAAUAUUGGUCAAUGGGCGAGAGCCUGAACCAGCCAAGUAGCGUGAGGGACGACUGCCCUAUGGGUUGUAAACCUCUUUUGAUUGGGAACAAAGAGCGCCACGUGUGGUGCGUUGCGUGUACCUUUCGAAUAAGCAUCGGCUAAUUCCGUGCCAGCAGCCGCGGUAAUACGGAAGAUGCGAGCGUUAUCCGGAUUUAUUGGGUUUAAAGGGAGCGUAGGCGGGCUGUUAAGUCAGCGGUCAAAUGUCAGGGCCCAACCUUGGCAUGCCGUUGAAACUGGCGAGCUUGAGUACGUACGGGGCAGGCGGAAUGCGUGGUGUAGCGGUGAAAUGCAUAGAUAUCACGCAGAACCCCGAUCGCGAAGGCAGCCUGCCAGGCCGUGACUGACACUGAUGCACGAAAGCGUGGGUAUC